rnacentral:lncRNA from 1 species
UUGUCGGCCGCAUCGAUAUUCUCGGCUGCAGUCUGCAAGAACUGUGUGACCCCCGUGUCGUCGACCCCUCCCAGCCCCCGGCCGGGCUGCCGCAGGUCCCUCCAGUAGCGCAUGUUCUCCCGGGCUCGGGCCAGGUAGAAGGGGCUCAGGUCGGAGAUCACGGAGGGCAGGGAGGGGUAGGCGUCCUUGAUGAAGGUGUGGAACCUGCCAGUGCCCGCCGCCACCUCCAGCAGCCGCAGCUCCGAAACCCCCCGGCCACCCAGCUCAGCCUCCCGCACGUACUCAGAAAUGGGGAUCAGGGAGGUGCGCUGCAUGGCGUCUUGCAUGCCUGAGAACAGGGACUCUGUAGUGAACUCGUACAACGCCCCAGAUCUGCGCGGUCAUAUCAUCACCGCCGUCGUCCCACAAUGCUAUAGAUUACUUUGUCGCCACCUCGUAUCGUAGGCAGAGCACUCGUUACGGAGUAGCAGCAGAUUAGUUAUGGCGGAAUGGCGAUGUGAAAUUGUGCGUGAGGGGAGGUGAUGAAAGGACGGGCAAACGGUAGGAUUAGCCCGCGGUGCAGCAGGGCACGCAUAGCUUGCCCUCCUCCUCUUCCGCUUCCAAAUUCAACAAAAAGUUUUCACCCGCCGUCGCCACCGUUGUUCUAUUCUGCUACCAUCCCACAUUCCCUCCGCGGUCUCCUCCCGUCGCCUCCCGUGCACAACCCUCCGUCCUUCUCGCCGGUCCUUCUAGCCGCUGAUGCUCCCUAUCCAUUUCCCAUAUUGUCUGUCUGUCUGUCUCUCUGUCUGUCGCUCUGUUUGUCUCUCUGUCUGUCUGUCUAUCUGUAAGAGGCAGGGGUCGGGACAUCUUAAAACCCUACCCUACCCCACCUUUCUGACAGCCAUCCGUCAGUUUGGUAGUGGAAGGUGUUGGUGAAGUACCGGGGGUAGAGGGAGCUGGACAGCCACACGGGCUCCGGUUGCUUCCGCAGCCGCCGCUGGGUGAUAGCGGUCCACUCCCCUAGGUAGGCCAGGGAGCUGCGGGAGGGGGAGGACGCGAGCAAGGGUGGGAGAUAUGCGGGAAGGCGUUACAAGGCAGGCGGGGACGGGCCGGUAGAGCAGAACACGGUAUUCGAACAAAUGGCGGAGAACUGCCCUGAGCCGAGCUGAGCUGAGCUGAGCCGAGCUGGGAAAUGAAUGGCCUGAUGGAUACGUGAAGGCGGUUACACGUCACGAACAGGUACAGAGGGGUGACCCUGCCCUGCCCCUCGGGAGGUGGCUAUUUCCUAAAACCGCGUUGAAUGAGUUUCAGGGGGGAGCGCCAAACGAGUGCAUCUCGACCAAUCGGUGUCCUCACAACGUCACCAAGCCAAGCCAGCCCAAACCCAGGUCCGUUCCCUUCAGGGGCCCCUUACGGGGUGUACCACACAGCCCUACCCCCCGAACGCAAACAGCGGGUUGUACUGCCGGUGGUUGGGUACGGUCAUGUCCCAGGGCAGCGGGUAGCAGCCUGCCAGGAUGUUGUCGUAGUCCUGACAGGUGUACGACAUGAGAGCAGCGGAAGCAACGGGAUACGGUUGAGUACAGUUGUACGGAAUACUAAAGAGACGAGGGACUCGGUUUGGGGAAACAGAGUGGCGGGACAUGUCUUGCUGUGUGUUGCACCUGGUGGAGUCGAGCUAACCUGCACAGUUGUGUCGAGCCCAUUCGAGCCGGAGGCUCAGGGGGCAGGCAAGGGCUGACCGAAAUCACAUGUGCUCCAGAGCAGCGGGAGGAACAAAUACACGCAUGCACACGCACAAGUGACUCAGCCGAGAAGCGCAGGGGGGGUAGACGGUGUCUCAAAGAAUUUACAGCAACAAGCAAUAAAUAGCAUCUAUAACGUUUGGAAGGGAAACGGACAAAUGGAGACACAGACUCAGACACAGACUAAAAUUCCGUACAGAUGUACGGUGGUAACGGCCGUACCUGCUGUACGGCCACCAGCCCAUCCAACAAUCGGCUCGCUACUUCAGGCUCUGCGUCCUCCAAUAAUCGUUCGAAGGGAGUUGAGACGGAAGAUGCGGAAGAGGAGGACGAAGCAGCCGCCACAACCUCCGAGACAUGGUGUGCGGCGAAGCCUGCGAAACUCUGUGCAUUCAUCCAUGAACAACACCCUCAACAUCAACCCAAAACGAUAAGGACAUGCCAACAGCCUACAUAGGUACCAUCCUGUACUUAUGGGCAUGUAUGGUUCAAAGCACCUGCAGCAUAAAAUUUGCGCAGCAACUAGCGGCGGUGGCGGUGGUGGUGGCGGCGGUGGUGGUGAUGGUAAAGCCGCAAGAAAGGUCGAGGGGAAAGAAUCGCCAUGCAUUACAAAUGGUGAGGGAUGGAGAGAGGGACCUGUAGACCUGCCGGCUCCGCCAAUCGACCGAUGAGCCCACUGACUGACUGACGGACUGACGAACAAGCUGAGGGUUACGAAAGAACCGAGGCCCGAUUUGAGGCCGGCAAGGAAACACAAUCUCGGUUCCGGGGGCAAGUACGGAUUACCGUACACAAUUUCGAUUUAACUUGCCGUACCUGCGUCAGGAAGAACAUCUGACGACCCAGGUGGUACCACCAGUGUGCGGCGCGGCGGACAUCCGUCAGCGGGUUAGGCGGUACAAUCUGCCGUACAGCCUCUGCCAGGGAGGGUCCCGGCCUGUGUUGAAAAAGGGAAAAAGGGGAUUUGGUUCCAGACCGGCAGGUAUCCAGAGGCUAAACUAAGAUAAGCGGAUGUAUGCGGAGGGGGCGGGGGGCAGGGAGCGGGGUAAAGUGGAUUUUGGUCAAGAGGAACGCUUCGGGCUCAGGAGGUAAUGGGAUGCUGAGGGGGCUGACGCUGUCCCAACCGAGGACAUCGCUGCUACGAGCCUGUGUGGAGUACAUUGCGGCGAAACACCGGAUCCCAGAGGAUUCCCAGGAAGGGAAGUGGAUCCAAAAAGUUUCCAGCAGGGUCAUUGUUCGAGCCGCCACCUGGUGCACUCUGGCCAUAGGGCCCCCGGCCUCUGCUAGGCACUCACGGGCGCGGGCCUUCUCGGUGGUUUAGGAUAGCAGUGGUAACACGAGUAGAACGCUGACUCCAGGUGACGGCGGUAGGGUGCAGCUUGAAGCGUCCAGCGUCCAGGUCGCGGAGUGGGAUGGCGGAAGGGGCAGUGGGAGAGGGAAUGGUCGCAGCCGCUGCACUGGACGGGCUGUUGCCAGGCGCGAGGAAGGGACUGCUAGGCUCGCUCCUGUUCCAUGGCGCUGGUGAGAUCCGCGUACUUGUGGUGGUCCCGGAGGUGUCUGAGGCUACGGCAAAAAACCGGUCCGGGAUGAGAAUGGAAUGCGCAGCUGACUGGUUGCUGGCGGGUCCACGACCCCAGCUGCGGACUCGAGUUAGGUAGGAAAAAAGCAGCUGCGUUACUAGGUUGCAUUACAUGACACCUAUCCAAAUAAGUUAAAAUAAAUGCUUGUAGUAGCAUUGUGACUUUCGGCUUUUCGCAAAGGGAAGCUUCGGGUUAGGAUAGCGCGACCGAGUUAACUACGUGAAAUAUCAUACAUUUAAUACGCAUUAGGUUAGUUAUUAUUAGUCUUCAGAAAACAUUUAAUCAUAUAUCUAGGACACGACUACCGGCAGUUGAUUUUGAUGUCUGGUCGCCUAGAUAGUUACCCAGGAUAGAGGUGAGUGGAUGAUAUCUUACUUUGAGAUUUAGGGACGAUGAAGCGAUAGUGCCGUCCGCUGCUUGGUUGACCAAGCUCUUUGCGGGUUGUCUUACCACUUGGUACUAUGCGCAUCGUAUUGCCAAAUGUGAGUUGGAAAGCACUGGAAGGGAAGUAAAAUGAAGUAACGCAGGCUCAAUUUAUAGUUAGACUGCAUGGCUUUUUUAGUCGCUGUUCAACUCCGUGGCCGUUCGUGUUGCCGUACAGUACUUCCAGUGAACACUGGCCUGCGAAAGAUUACUGUUCCUUGGCCCGUAAAUAUGUGGCAUCUCAUUGUUCAGUGUGUGAUUGAGGCGUCCUAAUACACCAGCUCAGGAUUAUGAAAGUUGUAACGAAUGUUGAUAUUCGGCCAGAACACUGGAAGUCAGGCAGUUGAGACGACUUUACGGCGUAUAAGAUGCGAUGUGUGGGAUAAAGGAGAUAUGACGUUUUCGCCGAGAUUUUGUUCUGUGAAACCUGUAACGGUUGGGGUUGGCCAUAUCUACACAGCUCCACUUCCCUGUUUACCAUCGGUUAUGAGCCCCGCGCCGCAGCUGCAAGCGCGUGCCUAGUUUAGGUAUUGCGUCCAAACCUUUCGGCUUAGUACUUACCUGGCUUUGGGAUAGGAGCAGUAAGGGGAAGGAACACGAUGCCGAGCGGCUCGAGAACUACUUCCGCUGGCGAACGGCCAUGAAGUAGUAUCUGGCCGGCAAGGACCUCUGGGACGAAGCGGAAGAUUUGUCGACAGCAGUACCUAAUAACUCAAUGAACGCAAAAUCACAAAUAGUCAAAUACACGGCGAUAAGAUUUCACAGGCUGUUCGAGACGCUGUCGCGGCAGUCCGCGCCGAGCGUGUUACCGAAAUCGCUGCGAACAUUCAAUUCAUCAAACAGCGACUUAGCAGCCUAAAACAGCGGACAGGCCAGUCCGUUGUGGACUACUAUUUCGAGGAAGCGGAGGACCUGCAUGAGCAGAUGGCUGCGGUGAACUCGGAGAUUGACAACAGCCAAUUCGCCUUGACCAUUUUGGGCAGUCUGCACAAGCGGUUUCAAAUACAGCAGGUGCUCUUUGCUGCAAAGUCGCCGAGCUGAACCUGUCGGACAUGAAAGCUGCUCUGCGCUUAGCGGAAAAGAUGCCAACACCGAAUGGGUCCGGGUCGGGGCCCUGGCGUUGCGCAACCGCAGCAGUACAGGAGGCGAUGGUGGUGCCAGUGGAGGCUAUCGUUUGGAUCAGACAAAACACAAAACACAUGAGUUCCCGCAUGUUGUUGUAUCCUAGGUAUUCAAACCGACAAAGGCAAAGCUCUGCAAAUUACAACAUAUCAAGGAGUCGAGAGCUAAGGCAGAGCCAACAAAGGAUCAUGAAGAAUUCAUACUCAUAUCGUAUGUGCGUGAACGUGCACGUGCAUCCUUUCUUCUUCAUGUCUACCCCCCCCCCCCCUUUUUUCAGGACUAAACUAAACGGAGCACAACCGGCAUAAACAUAUGCAUGAACAAGUGUGCAAACGAAGGAAAAGGCAGUAUAUCAUUUUUAUCAAAGGUUAGCAUGUCGUCCAGCCAACCAGGCCACGAGCGUGUUUAGUCCUACGUUUCGUAUGAUAUGUUUUACAACGCGCCAGUACACACUGUCCGGUGGGACGUGGCUUGGCAUGCAGGUGUCGUACAUUGCAAGACAGGUCAGCAUGUGUAGACGCAAAUGUACAAUCAAUACAGAUUACAGUACAACACUGUACAAGAUACAAUCUUAAAUAAAUGCAUAUCAUACACUACAAGCUUGGCAUGUUAAACUGUAUAAACGGAAAUUCAACCGCAAUAACAACGUUUUGUCGUACGGAACAUUGCUUUAGGAAUAUGGAGUCUCAUAUUGUCCUGUUGGAAGUGACAAGUGAAGAAGAUGCAGAUAGUGAUGCACAACUCCAAGCAGCACUCGCGCUGAGGCACACACAACGUCCCGACAUCCCUGAUGACGGACGGACCGUAGCGCAGCAGCACUCCCAACUGCCGCCAGGAAACUUGGACCGACAUGGCCAUGAGUCUUCUUGACACCUACAUGCCUAUACCUAUAUACCUAUAUACCUAGAUCCCUCCCCUCCCCUCCCCUCCCCUCCCCUCCUUGUUUUCCAGUCUUUGCAACAUCCUGCUUGUCUCACUUGCUCUCAAACUCGUCAUUCAACUAAAAGAUUGACAAUCAAAACAGGAAUGACCCCAAGCCUCUCAUCAAUCCCGCCAUGAUGGCGGCACCGCACGAACCCCCCCCCCCAACAUUAAGUCCACAUCAUCAACUGCUCAGGGGAACCCCAUCACCGACCUGCACACGACCUUGGGGCUCUGGGGUUCCCCGACAUGAACACCAACUCCCAACAGCCUCCAACAACCCCUACAUUGCAGCCGAUUACAUAACAACAAUCAACGCGACCAGCUCGCCAACACCGACUCCUGACGCCGUUGUCACCAUUUGCCAUCUACUCCCGGGCCUUGCGGAAGCUGAGCGUCUUGGUGGCCGAGCAGAGGUACUUUGUAUCGCAUUCGAAGCCCGCUGCCUCGAACAUCGCCCCGAGAUCGCACGAGGUGUAGCUCCUGAGGAAGGCAGCGAGAUGGAAGGGGGCGUAAAAACGUGUCCAGGACAGGACGAACCAGCAGCAGGUGCAGCGGUACCCGCAGCAGUAACAUAAGUAACAACAACAGGACGAUCUUACCUCAUUCGUACAUAUGUAAUCGCUGCCGUACACCAGUACAAGGCAACGGUCACCGCGGUGUCAAGGAAGCCAAGGCAAACAACGCGCACGGUGUUGAUAUUUUGUGUGCGCUCAUUAUGUAAUGGCACGAAUAAUGUCCGGGGCCGAUGCACACUUCCGCACAUAGGAAUUUCCCUCGCCAUCCUCAACUGAAGCCGUCAUACAGCCAGCUGUAGUCUCUCCCACAUUCACUGAACCACGAGCAGCCAACCCAUUAAGACCGCUCCCAUUCGCACCCACAAACCCGCCUCGCGCAGCGCACCUGUAAUAGGGCUCAUUGAAGUCCCCGAACAGAUUGAGGUUCUUGUCCCACUCGGGUCUGUCCCCCAGCUGCACGCUGUCCGUGACCACCAGUAAGCCCCCCGGUUUGAGCACUCGGAAGAAUUCGGACGCGGCCCGGCGGCGGAUGGCCUCGGGCAGCUCGUGGAACAAAUACACACACACGAGCUGUGGGGGGGGGGAAGAGGGGAGAGAGGGUGAGGCGGGGGAGAGGGAUGAAGGAGAGGUGUUAAACCAGGGGAAGCCGGUGUGGAAGUGUGUGUUUGGCUGUUGGCAAGUGGAAACUACCUGGACACGGUCAGAUUCGAGGACAUACACCGUACCCGCCAGCUGAGGGAGUUGUGGCAGGCAAUUCAUCGCCAACGCGCACGCUGUCGCGCCCGCAACCUCACAUUCCAGCAAAACACAGCAAAAACGCCACUUCCUUUUCCCUUCACUGCACUGACCUGCUGGCCCUGCAUGCGAACAAACUCCGCACAUCAGAACACCAACCACCUGACGACUAAGACCAACACUGACAGACAAAGCUCGCAUCAUCUCCGCCUCAUUCAUAAACAAGCACACAAAUCCACGCAAAUCACUCGCAAAAUGUAUCACCCCACAUUUCCCCCCUCAUAUCGAACGCCAUCCAUCCGACCGGCCCAACCACCUGCCAUCAACCUGUAACCUCCAACCUCCCCCAAAAAUCUCCCCCCAAUGGGCCCCGCGGGGGGUGGGGGAGAACCCACAAUGUCAAACUGGUUGUCGGCCGCAUCGAUAUCCUCGGCUGCAGUCUGCAAGAACUGUGUGACCCCCGUGUCGUCGACCCCUCCCAGCCCCCGGCCGGGCUGGCGCAGGUCCCUCCAGUAGCGCAUGUUCUCCCGGGCUCGGGCCAGGUAGAAGGGGCUCAGGUCGGAGAUCACGGAGGGCAGGGAGGGGUAGGCGUCCUUGAUGAAGGUGUGGAACCUGCCAGUGCCCGCCGCCAC